rnacentral:tRNA from 1 species
GCCUGGUGGUGCAGUGGUUAACAGUUUGGCUGCUAACCAAAAGAUCGGCAGUUCGAAUCCACCAGGCG